rnacentral:lncRNA from 1 species
GGACACUACAACAACAACAAGAACAAUAAACCCAGUGUAUUCCCAUAUAUGGGAUUGGGGCGGCUAGUGUGCACGCAGACCUUACCACUACCUUGGAAAGAUAGAGAGGUUGUUUCUAUAACAGUUGUGUUCGGACAGUGACAUUGACAAUAUUAAUAGAUGCCUGCUUCCUUCCACCAGCAACACGUGUACUUAGAAACCAACUAGUGUUUUUUCCUCUGGUAGAAUUUGGAGUUUGCAACCACAGACUUCUAGGCUACACCUAUCGAUGCUGGAUUUUCAAGCAUAUUCUUGUGUCUAAUUGAUAUGGGCACCUUGGGUAAGAGUUAUUAUGGUGACAGUGAUCUAUUGAUGAUUGACCUAUGGAUUGAGUAUGGAGAAAUUGUAAGGAAUUUCAUUGAGAAUAACUAUGAAAAGCAUAGUCGAGAAAACCUUGAGUUAGCCAAGACUUCAGGUAACGUGCAUUGUGAUUUCCUAUUACUUGAAUUGAUUAAAAUAUGAAGUUGGUAACUCUAAACUAUGUUUUUCUUUACAGAUUCAUUGACGAAUUGAAUUAUUUUGUUGAUCGGAAGUUGGAUUUUAGUUGCACCCAAGGCAGUGGCCUAGUGGUUAAUGAAGUAGAAGGAGAACUACGAGAAACCAUUUUAAAUCCAGCGAAGGCAAAAAUACUAUGUGAUUCAUUUCCAUCUUCCAAAG